CUUAAUUUCAGGAAUUCCAAUAGGAAGCAAUGCUCCAAAAGGAUAGAGAAGAACUUCAGGAACCUUUACGGGUAGCAUUUUGUAAGAAUGUGAAACCUGGCCAACCUGUGAUUGACAUUCUUGAGAUGAAUAAGUUGCGGAGGCAAUACUAUUUUUGUCUUAUGUUUGGGAACAACGGCUGAUACAUGCAUAUGGUUCGAUUAACAAUAGUAUCCAGGAAGUUACGAGCAGUUCCAUCACUAUGCUUGGAUUGAAGCCCGUAAGUUCUGUGGAGAAGCUUCAUGAGAUUAAUUUCAAUCCCAAGCAAGUAAAGCCUUAAGUAGUUCCGAGUCUUCCCUAGUUGGGACCUGGCCUAACA